rnacentral:rRNA from 1 species
GGUGGCAAGCGUUAUCCGGAUUUAUUGGGCGUAAAGGGUGCGCAGGCGGUUGUAUAAGUCUGAAGUAAAAGCCAUCGGCUUAACCGAUGUAAGCUUUGGAAACUGUGUAACUAGAGUGCAGGAGAGGGCAGUGGAAUUCCAUGUGUAGCGGUAAAAUGCGUAGAUAUAUGGAAGAACACCAGUGGCGAAAGCGGCUCUCUGGUCUGUAACUGACGCUGAGGUUCGAAAGCGUGGGUAGCAAAC